rnacentral:rRNA from 1 species
GGGUCAGUAGGUUGGUCGUGCCACCGGUACGUACUGGUCUCACUGAUUCCUCCUUCCUGAAGAACCGUAAUGCUAUUAAUUUGGUGUUGCGGGGGAACAGGACUGUUACUUUGAAAAAAUUAGAGUGUUUAAAGCAAGCUAACGCUUGAAUACAUUAGCAUGGAAUAAUGAAAUAGGACGAUCGAUCCUAUUUUGUUGGUUUCUAGGAUUGACGUA